AUUGAACGCUGGCGGCAUGCCUUACACAUGCAAGUCGAACGGCAGCACGGGAGCUUGCUCCUGGUGGCGAGUGGCGAACGGGUGAGUAAUACAUCGGAACGUACCCUGAAGUGGGGGAUAACGUAGCGAAAGUUACGCUAAUACCGCAUAUUCUGUGAGCAGGAAAGAGGGGGAUCGCAAGACCUCUUGCUUUAGGAGCGGCCGAUGUCGGAUUAGCUAGUUGGUGAGAUAAAGGCUCACCAAGGCGACGAUCCGUAGCGGGUCUGAGAGGAUGAUCCGCCACACUGGGACUGAGACACGGCCCAGACUCCUACGGGAGGCAGCAGUGGGGAAUUUUGGACAAUGGGCGCAAGCCUGAUCCAGCCAUGCCGCGUGAGUGAAGAAGGCCUCGGGUUG
rnacentral:rRNA from 1 species